rnacentral:rRNA from 1 species
CACGGGGGGAGCAAGCGUUGUUCGGAAUCACUGGGCGUAAAGGGCGUGUAGGCGGUCAGGUAAGUGGAAUGUGAAAGCCCCCGGCUCACCCGGGGAUCUGCAUCCCAAACUGCCUGGCUUGAGUACGGGAGAGGAUAGGGGAAUUCCUGGUGUAGCGGUGAAAUGCGUAGAUAUCAGGAGGAACACCGGUGGCGAAGGCGCCUAUCUGGCCCGAUACUGACGCUGAGGCGCGAAAGCUAGGGGAGCAAACGGG